CCUACGGGUGGCUGCAGUGAGGAAUAUUGGUCAAUGGGCGCGAGCCUGAACCAGCCAAGUCGCGUGAGGGAUGACGGUCCUACGGAUUGUAAACCUCUUUUGCCGGGGAGCAAGCGUGCGUUCGUGAACGCGCGUCGAGAGUACCCGGAGAAAAAGCAUCGGCUAACUCCGUGCCAGCAGCCGCGGUAAUACGGAGGAUGCGAGCGUUAUCCGGAUUUAUUGGGUUUAAAGGGUGCGUAGGUUGUUUUUUAAGUCAGCGGUGAAAGUUUGUGGCUCAACCAUAAAAUUGCCGUUGAAACUGGAAGACUUGAGUGUGUUUGAGGUAGGCGGAAUGCGUGGUGUAGCGGUGAAAUGCAUAGAUAUCACGCAGAACUCCGAUUGCGAAGGCAGCUUACUAAGCCAUAACUGACACUGAAGCACGAAAGCGUGGGGAUCAAACAGGAUUAGAUACCCCUGUAGUC
rnacentral:rRNA from 1 species